UCUUUAUCGGGAGCCCUUAGCAGCGUCCUUUAGUUUAAUUAGGAUUAAAAAAAAAUGAAAAAUAGAAAUAAACAUAAGGAACUUCUGUUUUGUCCCCUAAUCAAGGCACGAACCUUGCUCUUUCUUCUCUAUAUCUCUUGCGAUUUUCCACGCCUUCAGAGAGUUUCCUUUCAAUUACACUCCAUGGAAAUCGAGGUCUCCAGCUCGACUCAUGAUUCAUCAAACCCCGUAGUCGAGUUAGAUAGUAUUCGUGUCAAGCGGAAGACGUUGCAGAAUCUGCUCGAGGAUUGCCAGAGAGCUCUCGAGCUGCUCAAUCUCACCGAAACAGGUCCCACCCGUGGCUCCCAAGAGGAGGAUAAUAACAGCGACUCGCCGGAGAUGGAAGAAGAGGAGUUCUCUUCUUCUUCUGAUCAAGAAGAUCCUGAAACCGAUAAAUUGUAUGAUCUCAUCAAAUCUAGAGUUGAAGGUCAUGACUUUCGGGAAAAGAUUGAGUUCGCUCAAGUCUCUCUUCUCCAAGAUCUUCCUGAAGAUGGUAGCUCUUGGGACGUAGUUAGUGAAGAUGAUUAUGUAUGGGGUGAGGGUCAAACAGAAGAUGAUUAUGUUCUUGUUAGGGAAGAAGAUAUUGCUGACGGUAUCGUCUGUUUCAUGGCUACUUAUUUGUCUUCCCUUAACCAGACUAAGGAUAUCACCUGAUCAGCUUCAGAAAGGUAACUCUUGAACUUCCAUGUGUCACACACAAUUAGAACCAAAGAAAGUAGCCCUUAGGGAUAUGUUAUAGAGAAUCAAAGGAAGUAGCCUAUGAACAUCUUGCAAAGAACACAGGCAAGCAAAGAAGAAGCUGGACUUGUGGAAGCUGCCAGAGAUUCUUGUGGUGAAUAAAGAUGGUCAGUCGUGUCUUUACGAACAAAGCUUUUCAUUCUUCAGGAUUCAUGACAACGGUUGCUGCUUUUCUCAAGAUUCAUUCAUUGGUCCUAUGAUUAAAAAAGAGGUUAGAUUGUUUGAUUAGAAAAAUUUUGGGCAAACAGAUUUAUACAAUAGGCGGGGAAGAGUUGGCAUAUUGUUGUUCUUACCUUCACUACAAGAAAACACGGCGAUAUCGAGGGGCUUUUUCCUCGGUAUUUCGUCGGAAUAAGCGUAUUCCGACGAAAUACCGAGGAAAAUGUCCCUCGAAAAAAACUCGUCGAAAUUUCAUUUUCCGUCGAAAUUUCCUCGAAAUUUUGUGACGGAAUUUCGAGGAAACAUAAUUCCGAGGAAAUUUAGAGGACUGUCCUUCGUCGAAGAGGUCCUCGGAAUAUAUUGAGGAACAAUUCCCUCGGUAUAUACCGAGGAUUAUACCGAGGGAGAAGACCUACGAAAAUUUUCGAGGAACCUGUCCCUCGGAAAAUUUCGACGAACGGUGUUCCUCGAAAAUUUUCGAGGAAAGCCAUUCGUCGAAAUUUUUCGAGGGACAGGUUCCUCGAAAAUUUUCGAGGGCUGCUCUCCUCGAAAAUUUUCGAGGAACCCUCCCUCGGAAUAUACCGAGGAACACUUCCCUCGGUAUAUACCGAGGACAUCUGUUCCUCGGAAUAUUCCGAAAAUUAAAUUUUUUAAAAAAAAUAUUUUUUUAAAAAAUAAUAUUUUUAAAAUUUAAAUUCGUAAAUAUAAAAUUAAAAUUUAAAUUAAAAACAUAUUAUUUAAAAUUCAAAGUCAUACAAACGAAAAGAAAACAUUUAGAGUUUUUGAAAUAAAUUAAACUACGGGGUUUGGAAGUCCGGGUCUGGCAUGUUCGGGAAGUCGACGUUGGCGUUCGGGUUCAUGCUCCUCAUCAUCGCCAUCAUUUGCUCGUUCAGCUUCCUCUGUGCCUCCCAGCCCGCCUCUUGACUCGCCACCAUGGACUCCAGCGCAGAUAUGCGAGCAUCCUUGUCCCUCAUCUGGCUCAGAAGGACUUCUUGAUCAACAUAGGACGGUGGUGGUGCAGAAGCAGACGGAACCGAGGGAGACCGACGAGCCAAACCGAACAAACGGCCCUUCUUCUUUGGAACCGACUGAAAAAGAAAGUGUAAAUUUAAAUAAUAUAAAAAUUUAAAUAAUAUAAAAAUGGAUUGAACUUUAAAAAAUGAACUUACCGCUUCAACGAUUUGGUUGAUCCGAACCCGAGGCAAGCCGGUCGAUCCCGUCGAAUCGUCAUCCUCGGUUUGAAGCUGAGACACUUCCUGUUCCAUCUGACUGUCGAUGAGGGUGACCACAUCCCUCACAACACCAUCAUCAAUCUCGCCGGUCUUCUUGUUGGUAUACGCCGUCUUUAUUAGGCGGAGAUGAUCAACCGGCUCCCCCUCAUUUUCUUGCGCCUUGAAAAAAACAUAAAUUAAACAAACAUUAGUAAUUAAAAGAAAUGCACAAAAAAAUAUUAGAAUCUUAAAUAAUAUAAUAAAAACCGACAAGCUUACCAAGCGAUCUCCCAGACUGGCUAAAGACUGAGCACCCAAGUUAUGGACGUACAUGCCCUUUCCCUUACGGUCGCUCUUGCGGUUGGUGGAGUUGGUGGAAGAAGUUGCUCUGACUUCGUUCUUACUCCAAUGCUCACUCAACUCCCGCCAGACCGUCGGGUCCAUCCCCUUUGGAACCUUUAAAAAAAAAUUGUUAAAUAAAUAAAAAAAUAUUUUAAAAAAUAAAAAAAUUGUAUCAUAAAUAAAAACGAACCUUGUUUAUUUCCCACUUCUUCUUCCACGAGUGCAUCUGCUUCCCAUAGUUGUCCAUAACUUUAUGGACGAAGUGGUAAUAGAUAAACAACGUAUCAUCGGCAUUCCAGUUGAAUUGUUGCUGAAAAUAAAACACAAUUAGUAGAAAAUUAAUAUUAAAGAUGAAAAAAAUAAGUAAAAAAUAAGUAAAAAAUAGAAAACUUACCGCAAACUGUUGAAACCACAUAUGCUGCUUCUCGAGAGGGAAGUCGGUGAAAGUCGGAUGUCCAUUGUCGAGGGACGAGUACAUCAUACUGUUGAUCCAUCCGCUGAUCCCGUUCCCGGAUCGGUCAAACCUAAUAAAAAGAAUUAAUUAUUUUAGAAUUAAAUAUUUUAAAUGAAUCAAAUUUUAAUGAAAAAAAAAUAGGUUUAAUUACCAUGUCUGACCCUGUCCACGUGGAUACUGAGUGAGAUAUGGAAGAUGGUCACGACCCGGCUGUCGAACAAACUCCGCAACUCUCAGAAGUGCCGGAUGAGCAGGAGCAUGAGCAGGAGCAGGAGUGGGUGCCACACCGGGAGCGGGAGGAGAAUGAGAGGGAAAUGGAGAAGGAGAUGUCUGGUAGGAGCUGUACGGCGAUGCGGAACCCGAAAUGGAGCCGCUCCCCGAACCACCACGACCACGACGCUGUCGAGAGCGGAGAGGAAGAGAAGAGAUAUGAACUUACAUGGGAAGAGAGGAGAGGAAGAGAGGAGAGGAAGGAGGCCGAGAGGAAGAGAGGAGAGGAGAGGAGAGGAGAUCCGUCGAGGAAGAGAGAAGAGAGGAGAGGAGAAGGAGAGGAGCCGCGAGGAAGAGAGAGGAGAGGAGAAGGAGGCGGUGAGGAAGAGAGGAAAAUCGAGAAGGAGAGAAAUGGGGAAGAAAAGAAUGAAAACCUAAUUUAUGAGGGGUCCGACGGACAGGGUCCGUCGAAAUUUCCUCGAUAUUUUUUAAGGGGGUCGUCGAAAUUUCCUCGAAAUUCUCUUGUUCGCGGCUAGGGUUUCCUGGUUAAUGAAAAACAGUCCGAGGAAAACAUUCCUCGAAAUUUCCUCACAAUAUUGUGAGGAAAUUUCGAGGAAAUAGGGUUUGGGGUUUUGAAAACAUCGAUUUUUUUCCCUAUGUCAUUUCUUAUACAAAUGUAAUUCAUAAUAAUGAGGUUUCUUUGUAUAGAUGAUCAUAAAUAAUGAAAUAACACAAUUACAAAAAUUAUUGUAAGUAUUUCCUUUAACGUUUAUUAAAACGUAUAAGUGUUUAUCUUA